AUAAGACACUCAAAAAAAUACUCAAACCAUUGCCAACUCAUUGUAAGGCAUACCUAAGUUGUUCUGAUCGUGGGGGGAAACAUAUUUGUCAAAACAACAAAUGUUGUCAUACUAAUGCUUUGUAUACCCCAUUCAGCUGUACCAUCUUGGGCAAAGACCAUUCAAGACACAUUACAGGUUAUGCUCCGGAAGAUGGAGACAUUGGAGGAGAACCAGCGAGAGGCUCUCCUAUUCAGGCGACUACAGGGCAGACACACUGAAGAGGUGCCAGUGAUGGACCUACAGGUGGCCCAAACACAGGCUGAACUCCAAGACCUUGAGGAGCGCCUUAAGGUGCUGGAGUUCAGAAAGAGAGUGACGCUGUGAUGAAGUGGAAGACGGGACUGGGAGAGAAGGCUGUGGAGCUCCUCAUAGCGGAGACACUCACGCCCCGGCAGCCCAUUCAAAACAAGCCAGGGCCAACAGACAGGACCUGUAGCGGGGACUGGCAGAAGAUUUUAAUUCACUGUUUG